rnacentral:rRNA from 1 species
GAUUCCCCUAGUAACUGCGAGUGAAGCGGGAAAAGCUCAAAUUUAAAAUCUGGUAGUCUUUGGCUGCCCGAGUUGUAGUCUAGAGAAGCGUCUUCCGCGCUGGACCGUGUACAAGUCUCUUGGAACAGAGCGUCGUAGAGGGUGAGAAUCCCGUCUUUGACACGGACCACCAGUGCUUUGUGAUGCGCUCUCAAAGAGUCGAGUUGUUUGGGAAUGCAGCUCAAAAUGGGUGGUAAAUUCCAUCUAAAGCUAAAUAUUGGCGAGAGACCGAUAGCGAACAAGUACCGUGAGGGAAAGAUGAAAAGCACUUUGGAAAGAGAGUUAAACAGUACGUGAAAUUGCUGAAAGGGAAACGCUUGAAGUCAGUCGCGUCGUCCAGAACUCAACCUGGCUUUUGCUUGGUGCACUUUCUGAACGACGGGCCAACAUCAGUUUUGACUGUCGGAAAAAGUCCUUAGGAAUGUGGCACCUCCGGGUGUGUUAUAGCCAUUGGUCGUAUACGAUGGUUGGGACUGAGGACCGCAGCACGCCUUAUGGCCGGGGUUCGCCCACGUACGUGCUUAGGAUGC